UACGUAGGGUGCGAGCGUUGCCCGGAUUUAUUGGGCGUAAAGGGCGCGUAGGCGGCUCGGCACGUCCGUUGUGAAAUCGCCCGGCUCAACUGGGCGGGGUCGGCGGAUACGGCCGGGCUGGAGCAAGCUAGGGGGUAAUGGAAUUCCCGGUGUAGUGGUGGAAUGCGUAGAUAUCGGGAGGAACACCAGUGGCGAAGGCGGUUACCUGGAGCUUUGCUGACGCUGAUGCGCGAAAGCGUGGGGAGCGAUCCGG
rnacentral:rRNA from 1 species